UUUGUGCGCGGAGGGCGUCGCGCGGGUGUUGCUCUACACGGCAUGGUGCCGGCGGGUUUGCCAGGGUUUUCGUGACCGCCGUGCCGGGGUCCCUGCACCGCCAGGGGCAAUUCGGCACCCCAAAUCCCCGUGUUUGGGAGCUGGGAUGCAUCAACAGUGGUUUGCGCUCGGGGGAAAGGCUCUGGCUCCGCUCCCCGCACCCGCUCGUGCCCCCUUUGCCGUCGCCUCGCUCCCUGCAGCCCUGGGCUUUUCUUCUUAAAACUCGCGAUAAUCUGAAGUAACUGGAUUAACCUCCCAUCCUCCCCCUGCGGGCAGCCAGGCUGGAGACCUGCCACCGCCGGGGAGGUGACAGAGCCUCACGAGGCCACCAGCGAAGCCACGGCACUCGCAGCCCUCCGCCGGGUUUGCAGCGCGGGUAGGAGCAUCCGCGGUUCGGCAUCCCCCGAAAGCCGGACCAGCUCUCCCGGCCAUAGCACCCCUUUCUGCUGUAAUAGGAGCUGGAGCUGUCCGGAAGAAUGUCUACAAUGCAGAAAGGGCAAAAAAGGAUGGAAAAUUCCCUACUCAAAGCUACAGCAAAAUCUCAUCUGGCUCCUUCCUCAUCAUCCCAUGCGUUAUUUAAUGUUAAUAAUAAUAAACAGCGUGCAACAUUUGUCGGGGGGAUGUUUUUAGGUUGGUUUUUUUUUGCAGCUUGCCUAUCUGUUGCUGCAGCUUUGCUGUUUGCAGCAGCAUCGCUCCCCAGGAGAUGAGGGUGUUUCACAGUGUUUGAAAAAUCAGGGGGUUUGGAAACACGAGGAGAUGUUUAAAACCGUUCUCGUGGUUGUGACAACGCAAAAUAUGAGUGUUAUGUUAUCCCGGCUCUCCGACAAUGAGUUAUGGGAUGUUUCAUUGUGUUUUACUAUACACAUCUAUAUACGUACGCGCCUGUGUUUGUGUAACGCUGGCCGGUGCAGGAGGCGGCCGACGCUCCGGCUCUGGCUGGGAUCCACCCGUCACUCGCAUCGGUUGGGAUCCCAUUUGCUGACAUGGUCUCACUCCCGAUUUGGUAUCUGUGAGGGGGAAAUGGGUCUAACAUCAUUGUUUCCACUCGAUGAAAGCACUCGCAAAGGGAGAGUUCCUUAUUUAAACAGGUCCAGAAACUUGCUGGGAAGAAAUCACUUUCCCAAUUUAUCAAGACAAAUUAUUUUUCGGUGGUAUUCAAAACCUCAGCCUUCUUCCCUUCGUAAAUAGGGCUACCACAUGUUUUUGUUCUUGGUUAAACAAGGCGUAGCCUCAAACUUGAGGCCCAAGAGGAGGGCGAAAAAAGGAAAAAAAGGAAAAAAAAAAGAAAAAAAAGGAGACUUGUUUCACUGCCGUCGGCGGGAGCAGGGUGGGAGCGCGCGGUCCAGCCCACGGCUCCGCUCGGCACCAUCCGGAUAAAUCCAUUUCCCUUCCGGUAUUGUCGGGUCUGACCGACCAUCUGCAGAAGUUGAUGCAAUGCAUCUAUAUUUUAGAUACUCUCUAUUUAUUCGAAGUAACUUAUGUUAUUUAUUUAGAUACCAUAGUGUGCCAUCUACGUAAUGCGUUCUUUCUCUCUCUCUUUUUUUUUUUAUUUUAUUUAUUGAUCCAAAUGGUGCCAAGUGCAGUUUACAUUUAUUACAUUUUUACCAUUUAUUCUGAACGUUGGGAUAAAAAAAAUGCAGUAUGAUAUUAUUUUUUUUAAACAAACAUAAACUCGGGUGUGAUGCUGUUACAUACUCACGACAAAGUGAAAAUAAAAUGAGGAUUAUAUUGA